rnacentral:lncRNA from 1 species
CUGGCCUGGGCUGUAGCAGGCAGCUGAUGGCCGCUGUCAUAUCUCCCCAUGUCCUUCUCCACAGGGCCCGACACUAUAUCCACAUCCCGGUGCACUUCAGGCCAGAGACGGUGGGCAGAUUCGAAGCUUUACUUGUGAUCCAGACAGAUGAAGGCAAGAGUAUUGCUGUCCGACUAAUUGGUGAAUCCCUUGGGAAAAGUUGACUAGAAUACAUGCUGUGUAAAUGACCUACUUACUUUUGGCAAUCUCAUUUUUCUACAUCAAAAUUAUGCAGUUGUAUAUAUUUUGUAUGAUAAAUUCAAUGUAUAUAAAUUAUAGAUUUGUUUUUUAAAGAAUUCAUUCCUAAAGUCCUCACUAAAUAUCAUGUAUCUAGUUCACAGUAUUAACAUUUACAGGAGAGAAGGUUCUAUUUUUACAUUAAUUAUGACAUUCUGAAUAAAUAUGGCAUAUGUUUACAAAUAAAGUUGAUGUUUUUAAACUGU